rnacentral:lncRNA from 1 species
AGUCUUCUGCCUUGGAGCCAAUACACAGUAUUAACUCCAAGAUGGAAGGUAAGGGUUUAAAAACAAUAAAUUAAAAAUAAAUAAAAAUUAAAAAAAAAAGUACAGUCUGAUUAGGGUGGAAUAGUUUUAAAAUUUACAGGAUGGCAGUGGCAGGUCCAGAGGCUUGGGGACCAACUCUGGUAAUAUGGGUGAGACUGAGGCCUCUGGCUCCCUCACAUCCUCCAAGAGGGCCAAGGUCUUAAGGGCUCACUUUGAGAGAGCACAGGGAUGUGAGGGAAGAAAGGAUUGGGGCCACAACAGGGCGGGGGGGAGGGAGUCCAGGACUAGGUCUUGCCAAGUAAUAAUAUAAGGAAUCUGUUCAGGAUGGCCUUGUGGGCCAGGAUCUAAAACCUGGGCCCAGACCUUGGAAAUAACCUCUAAGUUGAGGGUCCCCUCCUUGGGCCAUCCCAGAUCAAUUACUGGCCACCCUUAAGAGCAGAAGGUAACAAGUUUACUCUUUUUGAUGGACAUGGAGAGAUUUGGGGCCCUCACCUUGAAGACAGAGAAAUGGGUAGUCAUGAGGGAGAACGGAGUGGACUUCUGGCCUGGACUAUCCCUGACCCAUAAUGUCCUGUAGAAUGAAAGGAGUUAGUAGGCUGUACACAAAGGUGGUGAACACAAACACAGACCGGGCAAUACGUGACAGACUGGACAGCCAAGAUAGUCACAGCAAAUAUGAACAUUGGAUUGGAUGUGCUCCUAUACUCACCCCAAGGGGCAAGGGAGGAAUAACUGCACUGAGUCUUCAUUUUAGCAUCCAGGUGGGAAACCACAUUGGCAUCCUGGCUUUCAGAUUUAUCCUCCUAGAAUCCUCCUAAUUUCUGAGCCUAAUUAUCCUCCUAAUACCUGAGCCAAGUCUAGAAAGAAACCAGGGAUUUGAAGACACCACAAUGGGCAGCUGUGCCUUCCCUAUAUGAGGGAUGGAAUGGACAAAGAUUCAAACAAUGCUGGACAGGAAGAGUACUGAGAAAGUCAGCCUGAUUGGACCAUACCUACAAGAUGAGAAGGGAAAGAAGAGAGCAAAAGACUGAAAAGGUAGACUGGGGUCAAGACAUAAAGAUCUUCAGAAAUGCUAAACAGAGGGACUCUUUUGUGAAAACAGAGGUAAUAGG